rnacentral:rRNA from 1 species
UGUGCCUACGGGACGCAGCAGUAGGGAAUCUUCCACAAUGGACGAAAGUCUGAUGGAGCAACGCCGCGUGAGUGAAGAAGGGUUUCGGCUCGUAAAGCUCUGUUGGUAGUGAAGAAAGAUAGAGGUAGUAACUGGCCUUUAUUUGACGGUAAUUACUUAGAAAGUCACGGCUAACUAAGUGCCAGCAGCCGCGGUAAUACGUAGGUGGGAAGCGUUGUCCGGAUUUAUUGGGCGUAAAGCGAGUGC